CGUCGACCAGCGAAGAUCAAUCUAACCUCAACGGUCAGCCCCCGUCGGGGUCCGCGUGGCAACAGUGUUGGAUCGGAUGGCGGCCAACGAGUGAGAGGGUAGAGGAAAGAAACGAGAUGGUGGGAUUUUAAAAGACAGAUAGACCGAUCCCUGUGUAUGGUAUUACAAACCCCACACAUACAUACGGCUCGGUAUCAAAUAUGUACACAAAUACAAAAGCAGUGUUCUUUGUAUGGUCGAAACGUGGGACAGGAAAUGGCCACACACAGUCACGAUAGAUGCGAGCAACGCAGGAGAUAAACCCAAUCAUGGUGGGAUGCAAUAACCAGUAACACUUGGAACUGCUCUGUGUGAGAGCUGAGCCUAUCGUCGCGCCCAAAUAGGAAAGCCAGUGAUCGAAGACUUAUUUAUACUCUAUUUUCAACUGUUAACGUCACGCAUGAAAAAUCAAUAUGGGAGAUUUUUACAGGAAUUGAUUUCAGUGCUUUAUCUCUACCCAAUGCAGAAUAAUUCAUGCAAUCUGCUGUUCCAUCUGUUACAGUAUUGUCAGUUAAAAUAAAGCUACAA